CCUACGGGAGGCAGCAGUGAGGAAUAUUGGUCAAUGGGCGCGAGCCUGAACCAGCCAAGUCGCGUGAAGGAUGACUGCCCUACGGGUUGUAAACUUCUUUUGUAAGGGAAUAAAGUGAGGCACGUGUGCCUGUUUGAAUGUACUUUAUGAAUAAGGAUCGGCUAACUCCGUGCCAGCAGCCGCGGUAAUACGGAGGAUCCGAGCGUUAUCCGGAUUUAUUGGGUUUAAAGGGUGCGUAGAUGGUUUGUUAAGUCAGUUGUGAAAGUUUGCGGCUCAACCGUAAAAUUGCAAUUGAUACUGGCAGUCUUGAGUACAGUUGAGGUAGGCGGAAUUCGUGGUGUAGCGGUGAAAUGCUUAGAUAUCACGAAGAACUCCGAUUGCGAAGGCAGCUUACUAAACUGCCACUGACAUUGAUGCUCGAAAGCGUGGGUAUCAAACAGGAUUAGAUACCCUUGUAGUC
rnacentral:rRNA from 1 species